GACGUAGGGCGCGAGCGUUGUCCGGAUUUAUUGGGCGUAAAGAGCUCGUAGGCGGCUUGUCGCGUCGAAUGUGAAAUCCUGCGGCUCAACUGCAGGCUUGCAUUCGAUACGGGCAGGCUCGAGUUCGGUAGGGGAGACUGGAAUUCCUGGUGUAGCGGUGAAAUGCGCAGAUAUCAGGAGGAACACCGGUGGCGAAGGCGGGUCUCUGGGCCGAUACUGACGCUGAGGAGCGGAAAGCGUGGGGAGCGAACAGGAUUCAGAA
rnacentral:rRNA from 1 species